rnacentral:rRNA from 1 species
AAACAGAAGCCUUCGGGUAGAAGAUUUGUGGAUCGAGCGGCGGACGGGUGAGUAACACGUGGGCAACCUACCUAUAAGACUGGGAUAACUCGUGGAAACAGGAGCUAAUACCGGAUGUAUCGUUUGAACGCAUGUUCAAACAAAUAAAGGCGGCUUUACGGCUGUCACUUAUAGAUGGGCCCGCGGCGCAUUAGCUAGUUGGUGGGGUAAUGGCUCACCAAGGCGACGAUGCGUAGCCGACCUGAGAGGGUGAUCGGCCACACUGGGACUGAGACACGGCCCAGACUCCUACGGGAGGCAGCAGUAGGGAAUCUUCCGCAAUGGACGAAAGUCUGACGGAGCAACGCCGCGUGAACGAUGAAGGUUUUCGGAUCGUAAAGUUCUGUUGUUAGGGAAGAACACGUACCGUUCAAAUAGGGCGGUACCUUGACGGUACCUAACGAGAAAGCCCCGGCUAACUACGUGCCAGCAGCCGCGGUAAUACGUAGGGGGCAAGCGUUGUCCGGAAUUAUUGGGCGUAAAGCGCGCGCAGGCGGUCUUUUAAGUCUGAUGUGAAAUCUUGCGGCUCAACCGCAAGCGGUCAUUGGAAACUGGAAGACUUGAGUGCAGAAGAGGAGAGUGGAAUUCCAUGUGUAGCGGUGAAAUGCGUAGAUAUAUGGAGGAACACCAG